rnacentral:rRNA from 1 species
AAAUACAUGCAAGUCGAGCGGACAGAUGGGAGCUUGCUCCCUGAUGUUAGCGGCGGACGGGUGAGUAACACGUGGGUAACCUGCCUGUAAGACUGGGAUAACUCCGGGAAACCGGGGCUAAUACCGGAUGCUUGUUUGAACCGCAUGGUUCAAACAUAAAAGGUGGCUUCGGCUACCACUUACAGAUGGACCCGCGGCGCAUUAGCUAGUUGGUGAGGUAAUGGCUCACCAAGGCAACGAUGCGUAGCCGACCUGAGAGGGUGAUCGGCCACACUGGGACUGAGACACGGCCCAGACUCCUACGGGAGGCAGCAGUAGGGAAUCUUCCGCAAUGGACGAAAGUCUGACGGAGCAACGCCGCGUGAGUGAUGAAGGUUUUCGGAUCGUAAAGCUCUGUUGUUAGGGAAGAACAAGUACCGUUCGAAUAGGGCGGUACCUUGACGGUACCUAACCAGAAAGCCACGGCUAACUACGUGCCAGCAGCCGCGGUAAUACGUAGGUGGCAAGCGUUGUCCGGAAUUAUUGGGCGUAAAGGGCUCGCAGGCGGUUUCUUAAGUCUGAUGUGAAAGCCCCCGGCUCAACCGGGGAGGGUCAUUGGAAACUGGGGAACUUGAGUGCAGAAGAGGAGAGUGGAAUUCCACGUGUAGCGGUGAAAUGCGUAGAGAUGUGGAGGAACACCAGUGGCGAAGGCGACUCUCUGGUCUGUAACUGACGCUGAGGAGCGAAAGCGUGGGGAGCGAACAGGAUUAGAUACCCUGGUAGUCCACGCCGUAAACGAUGAGUGCUAAGUGUUAGGGGGUUUCCGCCCCUUAGUGCUGCAGCUAACGCAUUAAGCACUCCGCCUGGGGAGUACGGUCGCAAGACUGAAACUCAAAGGAAUUGACGGGGGCCCGCACAAGCGGUGGAGCCAUGUGGUUUAAUUCGAAGCAACGCGAAGAACCUUACCAGGUCUUGACAUCCUCUGACAAUCCUAGAGAUAGGACGUCCCCUUCGGGGGCAGAGUGACAGGUGGUGCAAGGUUGUCGUCACCUCGUGUCGUGAGAUGUUGGGGUUAAGUCCCGCAACGAGCGCAACCCUUGAUCUUAGUUGCCAGCAUUCAGUUGGGCACUCUAAGGUGACUGCCGGUGACAACCGGAGGAAGGAUGGGGGAUGACGUCAAAUCAUCAUGCCCCUUAUGACCUGGGGCUACAC